rnacentral:tRNA from 3 species
ACUUGAAUAGCUUAUAUUUAGAUAGAGCGCGACACUGAAGAUGUCGAUGAGGUGGCUUACCUUUAAGUA